rnacentral:rRNA from 1 species
UACGUAGGGGGCAAGCGUUGUCCGGAAUCAUUGGGCGUAGAGAGCGUGUAGGCGGCCAGAUAAGUCCGCUGUGAAAUCUCGAGGCUUAACCUCGAGCUGUCGGCGGAAACCAUCUGGCUAGAGUCCGGAAGAGGAGAAUGGAAUUCCCGGUGUAGCGGUGAAAUGCGCAGAUAUCGGGAAGAACACCCGUGGCGAAGGCGGUUCUCUGGG